CAGCCGCCGCGGGAAUACGGAGGGUGCAAGCGUUAAUCGGAAUUACUGGGCGUAAAGCGCACGCAGGCGGUCUGACAAGUCAGAUGUGAAAUCCCCGGGCUUAACCUGGGAACUGCAUUUGAAACUGUCAGGCUGGAGUCUUGUAGAGGGGGGUAGAAUUCCAGGUGUAGCGGUGAAAUGCGUAGAGAUCUGGAGGAAUACCGGUGGCGAAGGCGGCCCCCUGGACAAAGACUGACGCUCAGGUGCGAAAGCGUGGGGAGCAAACAGGAUUAGAUACCCCUGUAGUCCCUGUCUCUUAUAA
rnacentral:rRNA from 1 species